UACGGAGGAUGCAAGCGUUAUCCGGAAUGAUUGGGCGUAAAGCGUCCGCAGGUGGCUAUGUAAGUCUGCUGUUAAAGAGUGAGGCUCAACCUCAUAAGAGCAGUGGAAACUACAUGGCUAGAGUGCGUUCGGGGCAGAGGGAAUUCCUGGUGUAGCGGUGAAAUGCGUAGAUAUUGGGAAGAACACCGGUGGCGAAAGCGCCUUGCUGGGUCUGCACUGACACUGAGGGACGAAAGCUAGGGGAGCGAAAGGG
rnacentral:rRNA from 1 species